CUUUCCUAUCUUCUCUUCUCCGCUCUCUUCCUCUCAAUCCCCUCCUCUCCUCUCUUUUCCUCAACUCCCUCUUCUCUGUAUUCCCGUUCUUCUCCCUUCUCACCCAAUUACCUCGAUUUCUCCAAUACGAUCCGCCCAUCAUCACCUCGAUUUCUCCAGUACGACCCGCCCAUCAUCACCUCGAUUUCUCCAGUACGAUCCGCCCCUCCAUCUUCACUGCUAUCUUCGUCUCAGACAAUUUUCAUAAUCUACGGGUUGUGGCGAGUCCGGUAUAUUACGUCGCCAUGGGAGUGCAGGGUCUUUGGGAGCUCCUCGCCCCCGUGGGCCG
rnacentral:lncRNA from 1 species